rnacentral:rRNA from 1 species
GAGUAAUGCCUAGGAAAUUGCCUUGAUGUGGGGGAUAACCAUUGGAAACGAUGGCUAAUACCGCAUAAUGCCUACGGGCCAAAGAGGGGGACCUUCGGGCCUCUCGCGUCAAGAUAUGCCUAGGUGGGAUUAGCUAGUUGGUGAGGUAAUGGCUCACCAAGGCGACGAUCCCUAGCUGGUCUGAGAGGAUGAUCAGCCACACUGGAACUGAGACACGGUCCAGACUCCUACGGGAGGCAGCAGUGGGGAAUAUUGCACAAUGGGCGAAAGCCUGAUGCAGCCAUG